GACGAACGCUGGCGGCGUGCCUAAUACAUGCAAGUCGAACGCUUCUUUCCUCCCGAGUGCUUGCACUCAAUUGGAAAGAGGAGUGGCGGACGGGUGAGUAACACGUGGGUAACCUACCCAUCAGAGGGGGAUAACACUUGGAAAAAGGUGCUAAUACCGCAUAACAGUUUAUGCCGCAUGGCAUAAGAGUGAAAGGCGCUUUCGGGUGUCGCUGAUGGAUGGACCCGCGGUGCAUUAGCUAGUUGGUGAGGUAACGGCUCACCAAGGCCACGAUGCAUAGCCGACCUGAGAAGGAGAUCGGCCACACUGGGACUGAGACACGGCCAAGACUCCUACGGGAGGCAGCAGUAGGGAAUCUUCGGCAAUGGACGAAAGUCUGACCGAGCAACGCCGCGUGAGUGAAGAAGGUUUUCGGAUCGUAAAACUCUGUUGUUAGAGAAGAACAAGGACGUUAGUAACUGAACGUCCCCUGACGGUAUCUAACCAGAAAGCCACGGCUAACUACGUG
rnacentral:rRNA from 1 species